rnacentral:rRNA from 1 species
AAAGAUUAAGCCAUGCAUGUCUAAGUAUAAGCAAUUAUACAGCGAAACUGCGAAUGGCUCAUUAUAUAAGUUAUCGUUUAUUUGAUAGUACCUUACUACUUGGAUAACCGUGGUAAUUCUAGAGCUAAUACAUGCUGAAAAUCCCGACUCCGGAAGGGAUGUAUUUAUUAGAUUAAAAACCAAUGCCCCCGUGGGCUCGCUGGUGAAUCAUGAUAACUUCUCGAAUCGCAUGGCCUUGCGCCGGCGAUGGUUCAUUCAAAUUUCUUCCCUAUCAACUUUCGAUGUUUGGGUAGUGGCCAAACAUGGUUGCAACGGGUAACGGAGGGUUAGGGCUCGACCCCGGAGAAGGAGCCUGAGAAACGGCUACUACAUCCAAGGAAGGCAGCAGGCGCGCAAAUUACCCAAUCCCGACCCGGGGAGGUAGUGACAAUAAAUACUGAUACAGGGCUCUUUUGGGUCUUGUAAUUGGAAUGAGUACAAUUUAAAUCCCUUAACGAGGAACAAUUGGAGGGCAAGUCUGGUGCCAGCAGCCGCGGUAAUUCCAGCUCCAAUAGCGUAUAUUAAAGUUGUUGUGGUUAAAAAGCUCGUAGUUGAACCUUGGGCCUGGCUGGCCGGUCCGCCUCACCGCGUGUACUGGUCCGGCCGGGCCUUUCCCUCUGUGGAACCCCAUGCCCUUCACUGGGCGUGGCGGGGAAACAGGACUUUUACUUUGAAAAAAUUAGAGUGCUCCAGGCAGGCCUAUGCUCGAAUACAUUAGCAUGGAAUAAUGAAAUAGGACGCGCGGUUCUAUUUUGUUGGUUUCUAGGACCGCCGUAAUGAUUAAUAGGGACAGUCGGGGGCAUCAGUAUUCAAUUGUCAGAGGUGAAAUUCUUGGAUUUAUUGAAGACUAACUACNGCGAAAGCAUUUGCCAAGGAUGUUUUCAUUAAUCAGGAACGAAAGUUAGGGGAUCGAAGACGAUCAGAUACCGUCGUAGUCUUAACNAUAAACUAUGCCGACUAGGGAUCGGACGAUGUUAUUUUUUGACUCGUUCGGC